rnacentral:rRNA from 1 species
AAUCAACGCUGGCGGCGUGCCUCAGACAUGCAAGUCGAACGAUUAAAGCUCUCUUCGGAGAGUGUAUAGAGUGGCGCACGGGUGAGUAACACGUAAGUAAUCUACCUUCGAGUGGGAAUAACGUCCGGAACGGACGCUAAUACCGCAUAAUGCAGCGGCAUCGCAAGAUGACAGUUGUUAAAGGAAUUUAUUUCGCUUGAAGAGGAGCUUGCGGCAGAUUAGCUAGUUGGUAACGUAAUGGCUUACCAAGGCUACGAUCUGUAACCGGUCUAAGAGGACGGUCGGUCACACUGACACUGAAUAACGGGUCAGACUCCUACGGGAGGCAGC